CCCGGUCUCCGGCUUCCAAAACUGGCAGCCUCUGCUGGGGGUGCGGUUCCACUCCUCUCCAACUCGCUUCCCUGUCUCACUGCGCCUUCGGGUUGGGCGAGGGGAUUCCUCGCUGGAGUUUGGAGUGCAAGAGCCCCCGGGGGGCCCCCGAAGGCAGUUUCCUCAGAGGAUCUCCCUCCCCCUGUACAUCUAAGAGCCCCAGAGCCCAGCGUUGAUAAAUCCAUCCAUCAAGCUCUCACAGCUGGGAUUUCGGCCCCUUCUCAGAAGAGUAGCAAGUCCGUCACAAAGCCCUCAGCUCUGAGCCUGCUGCGCUUAAGGGCUGCUGUGGAAGCCGGCUCCGAGGAUGAGGAGUGGACUGGGCGGUGCGCAUUUCCAGGGAGGUUUGAAGUGCGCAUCGCUGCUCCUUCUAAAGGUCUCAGCUCAAGUCCGGUCAAAUCAGGCUGGUUUUCUGUAAAUCGGUGAG
rnacentral:lncRNA from 1 species